AUUGAACGCUGGCGGCAGGCCUAACACAUGCAAGUCGAGCGAGCGGCGGACGGGUGAGUAAUGUAUGGGGACUGCACGAUAGAGGGGGAUAACUACUGGAAAAGGUGGCUAAUACAGCAUACUGUCGGAUAACCCAUAUGGGAUUAGCUAGUAGGUAAGGUAAUGGCUUACCUAGGCGACGAUCCCUAGCUGGUCUGAGAGGAUGAUCAGCCAAAUUGGGACUGAGACACGGCCCAGACUCCUACGGAGGCAGCAGUGGGGAUUAUUGCACAAGGGGCGCAAGCCUGAUGCAGCCAUGCCGCGUGUAUGAAGAAGGCCUUAGGGUUUUAAAGUACUUUCAGUCGGGAGGCGUUACCGACAGAAGAAGCACCGGCUAACUCCGUGCCAGCCGCCGCGGUAAUUC
rnacentral:rRNA from 1 species